AUUGAACGCUGGCGGCAGGCUUAACACAUGCAAGUCGAGCGGGGUGAUGGUGCUUGCACUAUCACUUAGCGGCGGACGGGUGAGUAAUGCUUAGGAAUCUGCCUAUUAGUGGGGGACAACAUCUCGAAAGGGAUGCUAAUACCGCAUACGUCCUACGGGAGAAAGCAGGGGAUCACUUGUGACCUUGCGCUAAUAGAUGAGCCUAAGUCGGAUUAGCUAGUUGGUGGGGUAAAGGCCUACCAAGGCGACGAUCUGUAGCGGGUCUGAGAGGAUGAUCCCCCAAACUGGGAAUGAGACACGGCCCGGACUGCUACGGGAGGCAGCAGUGGGGAAUAUUGGACAAGGGGGGGAACCCUGAUCCAGCCAUGCCGCGUGUGUGAAGAAGGCCUUAUGGUUGUAAAGCACUUUAAGCGAGGAGGAGGCUCUUUUGGUUAAUACCCAAGAUGAGUGGACGUUACUCGCAGAAUAAGCACCGGCUAACUCUGUGCCAGCAGCCGCGGUAA
rnacentral:rRNA from 1 species